rnacentral:rRNA from 1 species
AUUGAACGCUGGCGGCAUGCUUUACACAUGCAAGUCGAACGGCAGCGCGGGCUUCGGCCUGGCGGCGAGUGGCGAACGGGUGAGUAAUGCAUCGGAACGUGCCCAGUAGUGGGGGAUAGCCCGGCGAAAGCCGGAUUAAUACCGCAUACGACCUGAGGGUGAAAGCGGGGGACCGAAAGGCCUCGCGCUAUUGGAGCGGCCGAUGUCGGAUUGGCUAGUUGGUGGGGUAAAGGCUUACCCAGGCGACCAUCCGUAGCUGGUCUGAGAGGACGACCAGCCACACUGGGACUGAGACACGGCCCAGACUCCUACGGGAGGCAGCAGUGGGGAAUUUUGGACAAUGGGGGCAACCCUGAUCCAGCCAUGCCGCGUGCGGGAAGAAGGCCUUCGGGUUGUAAACCGCUUUUGUUCGGGAAGAAAUCCUCUGGGCUAAUACCCCGGGGGGAUGACGGUACCGGAAGAAUAAGCACCGGCUAACUACGUG